rnacentral:lncRNA from 1 species
GGGAUCAUAAGUACCUCAAGGUCACUCGGUCACCCUCAGAUGACUCAUAUUGACCAGUCUUAGAUAGGAUAAGUUUUACCAAGACGUGCAUCAUGUCAAACACUCCAUCAACACGGAAUGGACUUGUACAUGGACUGUCCAUAUAUUGCUGUUGGACUGGAAGAUCCCCGACCCUCCCUUGAUAUUGUCGGAACAGAGAUCCUUUAAUCUCCCAUGAUUUUGUCAUGUCAGAGUUCAAGCAGUGACUCUAGGUUGUCGAACC